AUGUCCUUCCUCGCGCGGGCGCUCCGCCACUCGAAGCCGUACCUGCCGUCGCGCGGCCCCGCGUCCUGCCGCUGGAUCUCGUCGACGCCCGCCGCGGGCUCGCCCGAGGCCGGCGCGGCCGUGGCGCCCGCCGACCCGGAGCUGCCCCCGCCGCGGGAGCCCGUCGGGGGCGCGCGCGUCGAGCUGCCGCCCAACCCGGAGGACGCGCUCGAGGUGUUCGUCGACGGGCACGCCGUGCGGAUCCCCAAGGGCUUCUCCGUGCUCCAGGCCUGCGAGGUCGCCGGCGUCGACAUCCCGCGCUUCUGCUACCACAGCCGCCUCUCCAUCGCCGGCAACUGCCGCAUGUGCCUCGUCGAGGUCGAGAAGUCGCCCAAGCCCGUCGCCUCCUGCGCCAUGCCCGCCCUCCCAGGGAUGAAGAUUAAGACGAACACACCAAUCGCGAAGAAGGCAAGGGAGGGAGUCAUGGAGUUCUUGUUGAUGAACCAUCCGCUGGAUUGCCCAAUCUGCGAUCAGGGUGGGGAGUGUGACCUGCAGGAUCAGUCCAUGGCCUUUGGGGCUGACCGCGGUCGUUUCACCGAUAUGAAGAGGUCGGUUGUGGAUAAGAAUUUGGGCCCAUUGGUGAAGACGGUGAUGACCCGUUGCAUCCAGUGCACAAGGUGUGUCAGGUUUGCAUCUGAGGUUGCUGGUGUUCAGGACCUGGGUAUGUUAGGCCGUGGCAGUGGUGAAGAAAUCGGAACAUAUGUGGGGAAACUUAUGACAAGUGAACUAUCUGGAAACGUUAUUGAUAUCUGCCCCGUUGGCGCUCUUACAUCCAAGCCAUUUGCGUUUAAAGCUAGAAACUGGGAGAUGAAGGGCACUGAGACUAUUGAUGUUACUGAUGCAGUAGGGUCCAACAUACGCGUUGACAGCAGAGGUCCUGAAGUUAUGCGCAUUGUUCCUCGUCUCAAUGAGGAUAUCAACGAAGAAUGGAUAUCUGACAAAACACGGUUUUGUUAUGAUGGUUUGAAGAGGCAAAGACUGAACGACCCUAUGAUUCGUGGUCCUGAUGGCAGGUUCAAGGCAGUGACAUGGCGUGAUGCUAUUGCGGUUGUUGCUGAGGUUUUGAAUCAAGUCAAGCCAGAAGAAAUUACCGGAGUCGCUGGCAAACUUUCUGAUGCAGAAUCCAUGAUGGCGCUGAAAGAUUUUGUUAAUAAAAUGGGUUCGGAUAAGGUGCUCUGUGAGGGGAAUGGUCCGAAUCCACCAGCAGAUAUUCGAUCAGACUACCUAAUGAAUACUAGCAUUGCUGGUCUUGAGAAAGCUGAUGUCUUCCUUUUGGUUGGCACACAGCCAAGGGUGGAAGCUGCUAUGGUGAACGCAAGGAUUCAGAAGACUGUUAGAGCAACACAAGCAAAGGUGGGCUACAUUGGUCCUCCAGCAGACUUCAACUAUGACACUUGGCAUCUUGGCACAGGGCCAGAUACCCUUGUUGAGAUCGCUGAGGGCCGACAUCCUUUCUGUUCAAUACUGAAGUCUGCAAAGAACCCAGUAAUCAUCGCUGGAGCUGGGUUAUUUGAACGAGAAGACCAAGGUGCUGUGUUCUCAGCAAUUGAAACCGUAGCCAAGAAGUUCAAUGUGACAAGACCGGACUGGAACGGCCUUAAUGUCCUAUUGCUCCAUGCUGCACAGGCCGCAGCUCUUGAUCUGGGCCUCGUUGCUAAUCCCACCGAGAGUGUCAAGUCUGCAAAGUUCCUUUACCUGAUGGGAGCCGACGAUGUAAACCUGGACAACCUUCCAGCGGAUGCAUUUGUGGUUUACCAGGGGCACCAUGGUGACAAGGCCGUGUACAGGGCCAAUGUUAUUCUGCCAUCUUCAGCAUUUAGCGAGAAAGAAGGCACCUAUGAGAACACCGAGGGAUGCACCCAGUGGACCAUCCCAGCUGUGCCUACAGUUGGUGAUGCCAGGGAUGACUGGAAGAUCGUCCGUGCUCUUUCCGAGGUUGCCGGGGCUCCACUGCCUUACGACAGCGUCGCAGCUGUGAGGAGCCGGAUCAGCAUGGUGGCCCCAAAUCUUGUGCGCGUCGACGAGAGGGAGCCAUCGGUGAUCUCUGCCGAGGUGAAGCCUCCAGUAAAGCAGCAAGUGAGCCCGGCGCCAUUCAAAGCUGCCGUGGAGAACUUCUACAUGACCGACGCGAUCACACGGGCUUCCAAGAUCAUGGCUCAGUGCAGCGCAACCUUGUUGAAGAAGUGA
rnacentral:rRNA from 1 species